AAGUCAUGUCCCCCUAAAGUUGUAGCGGAGCGGACAGUAGAUAGCAAUUCUUAUCAUGUCUAAUCUUAUUCCCCUAAAGUUGUAGUGGAAUAGAUGGAAGCGAAGUCACAAACCUUGUCUCUCUGAAGUUGCAGUAAAGCAGGUUGAAGUCACGAAUCUUAUCCCCCUGAAGUUGUAGUGGGGCAAGUUGAAGAUAUGAGUCUGAUCUCCCUGAAGUUGCAGUGGAGCGGGUCAAAAUGAUGGACCUUACCCCCUGAAGUUACAACAGAAUGGAUUGAAGCCACAAGUCAUAUCUCUUCUUGAAGUUGCAGUGGAGAGGAUCGACGCAACAAGACAAAGUGGACUGAAAUGAAGCUACUUGAAGAAGAAAGGCGAAUCUUAUUUCCUCGGCAAGACUGGGCAAAAAUUGGUCUUUCUUAGUCUUU
rnacentral:lncRNA from 1 species